ACUUGAAGGAUAUUGAAAGCAGGGAGUACAUUUUGUUGUCAAAGAUGGCUUAUGGAAAGCUGUUUCCUUUUUUUCUUCUACCAAUAUUUCGUUUUCUCAGGGAAAUAGAAAUGUCGUAAGUGUGUAGUUGCUACCGUGUGUACAGAUUCACUUGUGCGCUCUACCCUUUAUUAAUUCUUGCCUUUGACACUUUUUCAGUUUAGCAAGCCAAGACUUGCUUGGGGAUUAGAACAAUGAGCUUAUCAUAAUGCUGCCUUUUUUUUUUUUUUUUUAAGCCCUCUGACGCUUCUGUGUCAAGGUUUAUUUCUGAGUGUCCUUCCUGCUUAUUAGCCCACCCCCACGCACUGCAUAGAGUUGGAUUUUUCCCCCGUGGGGAAGUGUGGAACUAGAGCCUGCUUAUUCAUUUACAUUAUUGGACAUCAUACGAUAUCUUUGCAACCAUUAUAUUGUGUUCUUUCAAUGGUGUUUGCUCUGAGGGUGGGACACAAGGCUGUUUAGUGUCUCGUAAAACAUUUACCAAAAGCACUGAGCCAUGGAUUUGAAGGGCAUUCCGUUGCCAGUGUGUGGGAGGAGAGAAGGCGCAGGGGAAAGAGAGCACCAGGUGUUUUUGGCAGGCAAAGAAAAGAAAAUUAUGGGCAUGUUGGAGUUUCAAAUGCUUCAAAGUUUGCCUUACCAUCAGGACCAGUACAAUUCUUAAGGUAGGGACACUUUUUAAAAUCAGUUCCUUUAGCGGUUUUUACUUUACAAACUGGAAAAAGGCAGUGCUUCACAAAGCAAACUCAUUUUUUUUUCCCGUAGUUUAAACCGUGGAAUAUAAAAGCUGGGAUUUAUCAAAAAUAUCCAAAUUUACUUUCCAAAGUCACUUCACAGUCAGUCCUUUGGGAAGAAAUUUGUGAUUUUAAGACAAGUGAUAAUGAGAAAACUAAGAAAAAUUAAUGGAAUUAGCAUUAUGAUAAAUACUACAGGAAGGUUACUGAUAAUGACAUUCUGGUAUAAGAAGACUCUUCUGGAUUAAUAAUUUUGAACCA
rnacentral:lncRNA from 1 species